GACGAACGCUGGCGGCGUGCUUAACACAUGCCAGUCGAACGGUGAAGGGACCGGUCUUUGCUGGUUCUGGAUGAGUGGCGAACGGGUGAGUAACACGUGAGUAACCUGCCCCCUUCUUCUGGAUAACCGCAUGAAAGUGUGGCUAAUACGGGAUAUUCUGCGCCUGCUGCAUGGUGGGUGUGGGAAAGAUAUUGUUUCGGUGGGGGAUGGGCUCGCGGCCUAUCAGCUUGUUGGUGGGGUGAUGGCCUACCAAGGCGGUGACGGGUAGCCGGCCUGAGAGGGUGGACGGUCACACUGGGACUGAGACACGGCCCAGACUCCUACGGGAGGCAGCAGUGGGGAAUAUUGCACAAUGGGCGCAAGCCUGAUGCAGCGACGCCGCGUGAGGGAUGGAGGCCUUCGGGUUGUAAACCUCUUUCGCCAGUGAAGCAGGCCUGUCCCUUUUGUGGGUGGGUUGACGGUAGCUGGAGAAGAAGCGCCGGCUAACUACGUG
rnacentral:rRNA from 1 species